GCUUAUGGAAGGAAUAAGACUACCGUUCCCUAAAGGCAUAGCAACUGAGACAGGAGCUGACACAGACCUCCUCCUCAAGCCAGCUUGGCACAGCCCAGCUCCCAUCUGUUCUCAGCCAGCCAGCUCCAAGGCCAGAGCACAGAGGAGGCUAUGUGUGUCUGUGUUUAUCUGCAGCCAAUGCUGCAGAAGGAUCUAGGGUACUCCUCAAUGCUACAGCUCACCUUCCUCACCAGGAGCAGCCAGAGACAUGUGAGACAAAGCCAAAGGCUGCUGGGAAGUUUACUGGGGAACUUGCUAAUUCCUGGAUUUGGUGACAUUUUGAUAUCAUUUUGAAUUUCAGCCAUUCAUCAGCAUGCACAAAUUCUGCAGGUUACAUCAGUUCCAGAUAACUUUAUAUGAAGAUAAAAUUCUCUCUUCCUCCACUGCCAAGUAGCUUGUUUCUUCCAGUUCCUCUCAGUGUUACAAGGCGUUGCUCAGAUCACCUGCUUGGUGGUAGGCAUUGCAGAUGCUGUGGUAUCUAAAUCCUUUCCUACUCUGCACGAGAAGGCUUAGAAUUUAGCAAAUGGCAGUAAAUUACCAUUCAGACAUCCAGGACUUCCAGGACCAGAGAAGUCUGCAGAAGAUGCCUUUGUGGCCCAGUGCUGAUGACAUUACCAUAGGAGAAUGGGCCUUGCCCUUGAUGUUGCUGACACAUUUUAUACAACAGCUACUCUGGGACAAGUUCUGCCAUCUGAUCUCUGGAGCAGAGAUGGUGGUCCAUCCAUGGGACUGCAUGUGUACAAAGAAUGUCAUCAGAUUUUCACCUCUCCCUUAGCUUUUUUAGGGAAACAACGCAAAGCAUUGACUAUGCUGUACUACAAGCACCAAAUCUGAAGAAGGAGCUCUGAUCCCAGAUCUGUUGUAGGCUGUCUUCCUCAUUAAGUCAUUCUGAUGAGGGUUUUGUUUAUGAUUCUGGUGAUCAUUAUUAUUGUGUUUAGAAAAACAUCAGACAUCUCAGCUUUGGGGACUGAAAUUCAUUAAAAAAAAUUAAGAUUUUUUGCUAUAGUAGAAGAAAUGCUUAUAAGUAAAAAAAUAUUUACAAGACCUUCCACGACUUGCAAAAAAUAUUGCAGAUUUGACAAAUAACUGAAGGAUGUAAUAUGUAGCUCAGGAAUAAAGUUACCCAUUCUUAAAGCACUGACAAGAACAUUGAUGUAAAAUGGCUUAUUGCUAGAUGUGGGGAAGAAUCUGAUACCUGGAGGAAACAGAGGGUCAGCAUCUACCUUCACUGACUUUACAUGGAGCUUAGUCUGCAUUUCAUUUCAAUACAGCUACGUAUUCAUUGAUAUGAAGCAGACCAUUCAGAGCUGAAGGCACCUUAAGCAAGAUGGAGUCACAGCAAGUGAUCCCGCCACACCAGCGGAGUCCCAGGCUGUCCACCUGAAUGACACAACACAAGAUCUCAUGUUUCUGAACUAUUUUAUCCCAUUCACAGUUUCUCUGCAAUCCAGAUACCUGUUCACAAAGUACUGUAGUCAAGCUUCAGGCUGAGACACAAAGUUUCUACGGCACGAUGAUGAGCAUGCGUAGAAGUAAAAAGGAAGCCUUCCAAAUUUAAAUACAUUUCUGUAUAUUUGGACGAGCUGAAGUCCUUUGCCAUAUCGAGGUCCACUGCAGCAGUCACAGACAGUAAAACUAAAAUGGUAAGAAAUUGGAUCAACAGCUUUGCAUCAUCCUCCUAAGGCUAUAUAACCCACCCUCAGCCAUUCAACUUCCUCACUCAAAAGCACAGAUUCAAGAAAUUAUCUGGCCUCAGAAUGACUAUGAAGCAUCACUGAAGAAGAUGCUUAAACUUCCUCAGUUCCACUUUAGCAGAGGCCCACUCUAUUCCAAAAAAGUAAUUACUCUAGCUUUAAUGCACAGUCUGCAUGGCUCCCAU
ensembl:lncRNA